UUUAAAAGUUAAGUAUUACUUGCCUUUACUCCAUUGCCAUAGAGAAGCAUUGGAAGGCUAGUGUGUAUGUGCAAAAUGACAUGCUGUGCCAAUCAAAUCUCUAUUAAACCAUCUGACUGAAUAGUCGGUUUUAAAGGGAUCCUAUAGUGCCAGAAAAAAAUAAAAACGUUUUCCUGGCACUAUAGGCUCUUGGAGUGCCCCCCUCCCUCAGCGCUGAAGGGGAUAAAACCCUUAAUCCAGCGCUGGUGACCUUUCCUCCUCCAUAGACGUCACUCCCGAGUGGAGCCGAAUGCGCAUGUGCGGCCAGAGGAGCGCGCGCAUUCAAACUCAGGAUUUUAUUUGACGCUGGACUGCGCGAGGGCAUAAAGCGUCAAAUAAGUGCGGUUUACUCAGUGUAAAUGGCGGAAGCGGCCUCUAGAGGCUGCCAGGGAGAAAGCCACUAGAGGCUAGAUUAACCCUGCAGUGUAAACAUAGCAGUUUCUCUGAAACUGCUAUGUUUUCAGCUGCAGGGUUAAAACUAGGGGGAACCUGGCACCCAGACCACUUCAAUGAGGUGAAGUGGUCUGGGUGUCUAUAGUGGUCCUU